AUACGGAGGGUACAAGCGUUAAUCGGAAUUACUGGGCGUAAAGCGCUCGUAGGCGGUUUGUUAAGUCGGAUGUGAAAGCCCCGGGCUCAACCUGGGAACUGCAUUCGAUACUGGCAGACUAGAGUAUAGUAGAGGCAAGUGGAAUUCCGGGUGUAGCGGUGAAAUGCGUAGAUAUCCGGAGGAACAUCAGUGGCGAAGGCGACUUGCUGGACUAAUACUGACGCUGAGGAGCGAAAGCGUGGGGAGCAAACGGGAUUAGAAACCCCAGUAGUCC
rnacentral:rRNA from 1 species